rnacentral:rRNA from 1 species
AGUAACGGCGAGUGAAGCGGCAACAGCUCAAAUUUGAAAUCUGGCGUCUUCGGCGUCCGAGUUGUAAUUUGCAGAGGGCGCUUUGGCAUUGGCAGCGGUCCAAGUUCCUUGGAACAGGACGUCACAGAGGGUGAGAAUCCCGUACGUGGUCGCUAGCCUUUACCGUGUAAAGCCCCUUCGACGAGUCGAGUUGUUUGGG